rnacentral:rRNA from 1 species
CGCGGUGAAUACGUUCCCGGACCUUGUACACACCGCCCGUCAAGCCAUGGAAGCUGGGUGUACCUAAAGUCGGUAACCGUAAGGAGCCGCCUAGGGUAAAACUAGUAACUGGGGCU